GCCCGGAUGGUCUAGUGGUAUGAUUCACGCUUAGGGUAGCCUCACUCCACUCGGAACUGUUGCUGACUGUGUGAGGUCUUGGGUUCAAUUCCCAAUUCGGGCC